GCCUUACACAUGCAAGUCGAACGGUAACAGGUCUUCGGAUGCUGACGAGUGGCGAACGGGUGAGUAAUACAUCGGAACGUGCCCGAUCGUGGGGGAUAACGGAGCGAAAGCUUUGCUAAUACCGCAUACGAUCUACGGAUGAAAGCAGGGGACCGCAAGGCCUUGCGCGGACGGAGCGGCCGAUGGCAGAUUAGGUAGUUGGUGGGAUAAAAGCUUACCAAGCCGACGAUCUGUAGCUGGUCUGAGAGGACGACCAGCCACACUGGGACUGAGACACGGCCCAGACUCCUACGGGAGGCAGCAGUGGGGAAUUUUGGACAAUGGGCGAAAGCCUGAUCCAGCCAUGCCGCGUGCAGGAUGAAGGCCUUCGGGUUGUAAACUGCUUUUGUACGGAACGAAAAGACUCCUUCUAAUAAAGGGGGUCCAUGACGGUACCGUAAGAAUAAGCACCGGC
rnacentral:rRNA from 1 species